CCUCCAAGUACAGCUGCUUCUUCUUGUUCUGUAUCAUGUGUCUCUUGGAGGUUGGCUGGAAAGUGACAUUGCAGGAGGUCACAAUGCGAGCAAGAAGUACUGGACGUGGAUGGUGGCCGUGUUCGUGGAGGAACCCAACGCACAUACACCGAAGAACGAAGGAGCAUCUGUGAAGUUUCAAUGCGGAGGAUCUCUCAUCACCCCCGAGUGGGUGCUCACAGCCGCGCACUGUGUCCAGUGCCUUGAUCCCCAGCAAAUACUCGUGUACGUUGGGAUCUACGAGACUGG
rnacentral:lncRNA from 1 species